rnacentral:rRNA from 1 species
UUGUGCAGUAUAGGUGGGAGGCAGAGAGUAUAUAUUUGCGGAUGUAUAGGAGCCAUUAGUGAGAUACCACUCUGAUUAAACUAGAAUUCUAAUAUUGAUUGCCAUCAGCUGGCCAAUAAACAGUUUCAGGUGGGCAGUUUGACUGGGGCGGUCGCCUCCUAAAAGGUAACGGAGGCGUGCAAAGGUUUCCUCAGGCUGGUCGGAAAUCAGUCGUAGAGUAUAAAGGCAUAAGGAAGCUUGACUGCGAGACAUACAAGUCGAGCAGAGACGAAAGUCGGCCUUAGUGAUCCGACAGUACUG